rnacentral:rRNA from 1 species
UACGUAGGCAGCAAGCGUUGUUCGGAGUUACUGGGCGUAAAGGGUGCGUAGGUGGCUCUAUAAGUAUGGUGUGAAAUCUCCCGGCUUAACUGGGAGGGUGCGCCGUAGACUGUGGGGCUAGAGUGUGGGAGAGGAAAGUGGAAUUCCUGGUGUAGCGGUGAAAUGCGUAGAUAUCAGGAGGAACACCGGUGGUGUAAACGGCUUUCUGGACCAUAACUGACAC